rnacentral:misc_RNA from 1 species
UCAUAGUCAUCUCCUGAUGACCCCACUGCAACAUUAGAGUAAGAACCCAAGCUGAAAGGAUCACUUCCCCAUCUUGUACAUACAGUUUGGAUUGGCUCUGGCACUUCAAUUCCUUGUGGUUCAUAUAUACCUUUUAGAAUUUGAAGAACCUUUGUCACUGCAUCAGUCGGAGGCAUGGUCUCAAACUUGUGUGCAGCUUCUCCAGCAACUAGAGCUAACAAUAAG